GGUUUUAACUCAGUAUCACAAGGUACUAAGGGUGUCUGACCUACUUUAGGGUUGCGUCACAAACCAUAAUUUUUGGAUCGCCUUCGCGGGGUAUCCGGGAGGGCAAA
rnacentral:sRNA from 1 species